UACGUAGGGUGCAAGCAUUAAUCGGAAUUAUUGGGCGUAAAGGGCGCGUAGGCGGUCUAACAAGUCAGAUGUGAAAUUUCGGGGCUCAACCUCGAAGCUGCAUUUGAAACUGAGAGACUAGAGGGUUGUCGGAGAAAACGGAAUUCCACGUGUAGCGGUGAAAUGCGUAGAUAUGUGGAAGAACACCAGUGGCGAAAGCGGUUUUCUAGAUUACACCUGACGCUGAGGCGCGAGAGCAAGGGGAGCAAACAGG
rnacentral:rRNA from 1 species